rnacentral:rRNA from 1 species
UACGAAGGGGGCUAGCGUUGUUCGGAAUUACUGGGCGUAAAGGGCGCGUAGGCGGUGUGUCAAGUCAGGCGUGAAAGCCCCGGGCUCAACCUGGGAACCGCGCUUGAGACUGGCACGCUAGAGUUCGGGAGAGGAUGGUGGAAUUCCCAGUGUAGAGGUGAAAUUCGUAGAUAUUGGGAAGAACACCGGUGGCGAAGGCGGCCAUCUGGACCGCAACUGACGCUGAGGAGCGAAAGUGUGGGGAGCGAACAGG